AGACGGGACAACGACCAGGGACAGCGAGCAGGAGUAUCAGUCAGCUGGUUGCUGCCGCUGCUACAACCGACCCAGCCACAGCUGGAAUACCCUCAACCUGGGCAGUGACUACUGUGCUCUACACAGUCAGCGGCUGAAGGGCAGUCUCGUGCCAGCCAUUGAAAAUGCUCAAGGCACACAUCCCUGCUGACCUUCCCCAAGACCAUGGAGAGGCAGCUGAGUCCUUAGUUUGAGGAAGACAGGAUAACAGCCUGUUCCCGCUGCUAGAGGCCAGUGAGAUGGAGAGGCUUGCAGAGGUCACUGAUCAAUGGACUCUCAAGCUCAGCAGUGGUGGCCCAGGACUUUAAUUCUAGGACUCAGAAGGCAGAGGCGGGCAGAGUUCGAGGCCAACCUGGUGGUCUACAGAGCAACGGGACAGCUGGGAGUAUGCAGUGAAACCCUACCUCGAAAAGACAAACAAACAAACGAAAUAUCAUAGAUUCUCCAUCUAUGACACCGCUUGACACCAUCGGGCGGAACGCACAACAGUAAACGCCCCCGCCGCGACCAAUCAGCGAUUGCCGCACACCUCUGCCUUGGCCAAUCCACAGCGAUUUUGCAGUUCCACCCCUUACCUAGGGUGUGCGGAAGCUGGGGCGCCCCGUGCCCAACCUGGGGAGUGUCCAGAGCCU
ensembl:processed_transcript